rnacentral:snoRNA from 1 species
AAGACUAUACUUUUAGGGAUUAUUUCUAUAGUUCAUUACAUGAAGAAAUUUGACAAGUUAGGAGAAAUGAACCAACCCCUCAAAAAACAAAACUAUCCCAAGCCACCCAGCAUG